rnacentral:rRNA from 1 species
UACGUAGGCAGCAAGCGUUGUUCGGGAUUACUGGGCGUAAAGAGUGUGUAGGCGGUGCUCUAAGUCUGUUGUGAAAUCUCCCGGCUUAACUGGGAGGGUGCGGCGGAGACUGGAGUGCUAGAGUGUGGGAGAGGUAAGCGGAAUUCCUGGUGUAGCGGUGAAAUGCGUAGAUAUCAGGAGGAACACCUGUGGUGUAGACAGCUUACUGGACCACGACUGACGCUGAGACACGAAAGCGUGGGUAGCAAACAGG